AUAGGGGUAGAAGGCAAGUUGGUAGGACAUAUGGCUACUGACUUGAAGGUUGUGGGUUCGAUUCCCACCCUUCACA